AUGGAUACCUCCGGCGGCGGCACCGCCGCGGGCGGGGCCGCGCAGAUCCAGGGGAUGGCGACACACGGCGGCCGCUACGUGCUCUACAACGUCUACGGCAACCUCUUCGAGGUCGCCUCCAAGUACGCCCCUCCCAUCCGCCCCAUCGGCCGAGGCGCCUACGGCAUUGUCUGCGCGGCGGUUAGUUCGGAUACAGGAGAGGAGGUUGCGAUCAAGAAGAUUGGAAAUGCGUUUGACAACCACAUCGAUGCCAAGCGGACGCUGAGAGAAAUAAAGCUUCUUCGCCACAUGGACCAUGAGAAUAUUCUUGCCAUAAAGGAUUUAAUACGCCCCCCAAGAAGAGAUGAUUUUAAGGAUGUGUACAUUGUUACUGAGUUGAUGGACACCGACCUCCAUCAGAUCAUUCGCUCAAAUCAAUCAUUGACUGAUGACCAUUGCCAGUACUUCUUGUAUCAGUUGCUUCGAGGGCUAAAAUAUGUGCACUCAGCAAAUGUCUUGCACCGUGAUCUGAAGCCAAGCAAUUUGUUCCUAAACGCAAAUUGCGAUCUCAAGAUUGCAGACUUUGGGCUUGCAAGGACCACUUCAGAAACCGAUCUCAUGACAGAGUAUGUGGUCACUCGUUGGUACCGAGCACCAGAGUUGCUGUUGAACUGUUCACAAUAUACUGCUGCUAUUGAUGUCUGGUCAGUUGGGUGUAUACUUGGUGAAAUUAUUACUCGUCAACCCCUAUUUCCUGGAAGAGAUUACAUCCAACAGUUAAAAUUGAUCACUGAGCUGAUAGGAUCACCAGAUGAUUCGAGCCUGGGAUUUCUUCGGAGUGACAAUGCACGAAGAUACAUGAAGCAAUUACCACAGUACCCAAGGCAGGACUUCCGCCUGCGCUUCCGCAACAUGUCUGAUGGUGCAGUUGAUCUGUUAGAAAGAAUGCUGGUGUUUGACCCAAGCAGACGCAUCACUGUUGACGAGGCUCUGCACCACCCAUACUUGGCUUCUCUUCAUGACAUCAAUGAAGAACCCACUUGCCCGGCACCUUUCAGCUUUGAUUUUGAGCAACCAUCUUUUACAGAAGAACAUAUGAAAGAGCUCAUCUGGAGGGAAACUUUAGCAUUUAACCCUGAUCCUCCCUACUAA
rnacentral:rRNA from 1 species